GUGUCAGCCGCCGCGGUAAUACGAGAGGGGCGAGCGUUAUUCGGAAUGAUUGGGCGUAAAGCGCACGUAGGCUGUUCAGAAAAUCAGAGAUAAAAAAAUCAAAGCUUAACUUUGAAACUUAUCUUAAUGACUACUAAACUAGAGUGAGUAAGAGGAGAAUGGAAUUCCUGGCGUAGAGGUAAAAUUUGUUGAUAUCAGGAGGAACACCAAAAGCGAAGGCAAUUCUCUGGUACUCUACUGACGUUGAGGUGCGACAGCGUGGGGAUCAAAAGGGAUUAGAAACCCGCGUAGUCC
rnacentral:rRNA from 1 species